rnacentral:rRNA from 1 species
AUCUAUGGCCAGACCACCCUGAACGCGCCUGAUCUCGUCUGCUCUCGGAAGUUAAGCAGGGUCGGGCCUGGUUAGUACUUGGAUGAGAGGCACAGCAUUGAUUCCUCACAGCCAGAGGAA